AGAAGUAAUACAUUGUUAUAUGACCAAAUUUAUCAAACUCUCCAUUGACGAUUUCUGGCUUGCGUAUCCUGGGCGCAAAGGCCUCUUCCCAUGUGUGACUAGAGUGAGGAGACUCGGGGCGGAAUUUCUGAGUCUCCAUUGCCAAUUCCUCGUUGACUCAGGCUGGCAGGCCCGCCUGCCGGCCCAAUCUCUGUGGCCUGGGAGGCGGGGUAUUGGGCACAUGACUCAGUGCUGCCUAGGCCAGGAUUGGGGGCGGUGCCUCUCCGACACCCAGUCCCUGCCCUCCAAGGAUGCCCGUCCAGUUUGGGAGAGAGACAAGGAAAUAUGUAAUGAGAAGAGUUUAGUUACAUUAUUCAAAUGCCUAGGUGGCCCACAGGGCUGACAGUGCUGAAAAUCCAACGCAACGUUCAAUUGUGAGGGUCACAGGAUCCCAGUGUCAGUUGAAUUCCCAGCCUCUCCACGUUCCUCAUGUGAAAGGCCGGGCAGCGGUCAGAGGAGUGGAACCCUGAAACCUGGAAUUGGGACAUCUGGUUGGCCUCAGUUGCAGCUGACAAUCAAGAAGCCCUCGGUCCCUUUGAGACUCCCUCCUGUGUCUGGGGGACUGGUGUUCUCUUGCUUGAGGACUGUGUCAUUACCUCGCUGGGGGCGGGUGCCUUGCAAGGAGACACCGUUGUCCUCCAGACCCUCUGCAACCACCCCCUGUUGCCAUGAGACCCAUAACUACGUUCCAAUCACAGCAUGCCCACAAAGUGUGGCCCAGGAGGAAACAGCGCACACAUCAAUAAAAAUUUCCAAGACGUGACGUA